rnacentral:rRNA from 1 species
GUGGGGAAUUUUGGACAAUGGGCGAAAGCCUGAUCCAGCCAUGCCGCGUGCAGGAUGAAGGCCUUCGGGUUGUAAACUGCUUUUGUACGGAACGAAAAGACUCUGGUUAAUACCUGGGGUCCAUGACGGUACCGUAAGAAUAAGCACCGGCUAACUACGUGCCAGCAGCCGCGGUAAUACGUAGGGUGCAAGCGUUAAUCGGAAUUACUGGGCGUAAAGCGUGCGCAGGCGGUUAUAUAAGACAGAAUUGAAAUCCCCGGGCUCAACCUGGGAACUGCAGUUGUGACUGUAUAGCUAGAUUACGGCAGAGGGGGAUGGAAUUCCGCGUGUAGCAGUGAAAUGCGUAGAUAUGCGGAGGAACACCGAUGGCGAAGGCAAUCCCCUGGGCCUGUACUGACGCUCAUGCACGAAAGCGUGGGGAGCAAACAGGAUUAGAAACCCCUGUAGUCC